UACGUAGGUGGCGAACGUUGUCCGGAUUUACUGGGCGUAAAGCGCGCGCAGGCGGACCGAUAAGUCAGAGGUGAAAUCUCCCGGCUCAACUGGGAGGGGCCCUUUGAUACUGUCGGUCUUGAGAUGCCUAGAGGAGAGUGGAAUUCCCGGUGUAGCGGUGAAAUGCGCAGAUAUCGGGAAGAACACCUAUGGCGAAGGCAGCUCUCUGGGACGGUACUGACGCUGAGACGCGAAAGCGUGGGGAGCGAACAGG
rnacentral:rRNA from 1 species